rnacentral:lncRNA from 1 species
UUGUAUGUUUAAGAAUUUCGAAAUUUCUGGGAAUGUUUCGCGCAGUCUUUAUUUUAAUGUAUCAUUCUAUAGCUAAGUAGACAUGUCGUUGGGAAGCACAACUAUGCUACACUGACUGUGUCUGUAAAAUUCCUAUGUACAAAAAUGGCAAAAAAUAUCUAUAGAGUAACGUCCCUGCUAAACUGAAGUCUUCAUGAUUCAGCUCUGGAGUUCCCACUGAAGAUAUUUUUUUAAGCAUACACACACACGGUAUACAGUUAUAAAUGAAACAAAAG